GUUAUGCAAUAGCUUUCACCUGAUCGAUCAUUUGGGAUGUGUAGUCAUGCGGUUCAACAUUAGCAGCGCUGAUGUCAAGGAGGAGACUACACCUCCCGGCACCCACCGCGGCUCGACGCCUCACUAGUUUCACACUGACUGUACUUCGUUCUAGUUGAAGAGCCGUUCAUGAUUCACUUCAUUAAUAAAUAAGUAGUUGGCUGUCAUGGCGGAGUCUGCAGCUUGUCCUGCUUUCCAGCUCGGAGGAGCCCGAUACGACCAGGGUUCAUUCUUUGGACGUUUGAGGCACUUCAUCGCCAUCAUCGACCCGAGCACGCUGUUUGUGUCCGAGAAACAGCUGAAAGAAAGCAUCAAACUUCUGGAUGACUACAAACAUGGCUCCCUUUCUCCUGGAGUCUCUGAUCUUCAGGUGAGG